UUAAUUGAAGCCAAAAGAGGAGAGAGGCAUCUUAAUGUUAAUAAGAUAAUUGAUUUACAUCCAAUUAA
rnacentral:tRNA from 1 species